CGCGGGUGUAGCUCAGUUGGUUAGAGUGCUGGCCUGUCACGCCGGAGGUCGCGGGUUCGAGCCCCGUCACUCGCGCCAU
rnacentral:tRNA from 1 species